rnacentral:rRNA from 1 species
AUUGAACGCUGGCGGCAGGCCUAACACAUGCAAGUCGAACGAGUGGCGGACGGGUGAGUAAUGUCUGGGAAACUGCCUGAUGGAGGGGGAUAACUACUGGAAACGGUAGCUAAUACCGCAUACCAUCGGAUGUGCCCAGAUGGGAUUAGCUAGUCGGUGGGGUAAGGGCUCACCUAGGCUACGAUCCCUAGCUGGUCUGAGAGGAUGACCAGCCACACUGGAACUGAGGCACGGUCCGUACUCCUACGGGAGUCAGCAGGGGGUAAUAGUGCACAAUGGGCGCAAGCCUGAUGCAGCCAUGCCGCGUGUAUGAAGAAGGCUUUGGGGUUGUAAAGUACUUUCAGCGGGGAGGCGUUACCCGCAGAAGAAGCACCGGCUAACUCCGUGCCAGCAGCCGCGGUAAUUC